UACGUAGGGGGCAAGCGUUGUCCGGAUUUAUUGGGCGUAAAGAGCGUGUAGGCGGCCAGGUAGGUCAGCUGUGAAAACUCGAGGCUCAACCUCGAGACGCCAGGUUGAAACCAUCUGGCUAGAGUCCGGAAGAGGAGAGUGGAAUUCCUGGAUGUAGCGGUGAAAUGCGCAGAUAUCAGGAAGAACACCCGUGGCGAAGGCGGCUUUCUGGGACGGUACUGACGCUGAGACGCGAAAGCGUGGGGAGCGAACAGG
rnacentral:rRNA from 1 species